AGAGUUUGAUCCUGGCUCAGGAUGAACGCUAGCGGCAGGCCUAACACAUGCAAGUCGAGGGGUAGAAGGAGCUUGCUUUUUUGAGACCGGCGCACGGGUGAGUAACGCGUAUGCAACCUACCUUAUACAGGGGAAUAGCCCGAAGAAAUUCGGAUUAAUGCUCCAUGGUUUAUCGAUAUGGCAUCGUAUUGAUAAUAAAGAUUUAUCGGUAUAAGAUGGGCAUGCGUAUCAUUAGCUAGUUGGUGUGGUAACGGCAUACCAAGGCAACGAUGAUUAGGGGUCCUGAGAGGGAGAUCCCCCACACUGGUACUGAGACACGGACCAGACUCCUACGGGAGGCAGCAGUGAGGAAUAUUGGUCAAUGGAGGCAACUCUGAACCAGCCAUGCCGCGUGCAGGAUGACGGUCCUAUGGAUUGUAAACUGCUUUUGUACAGGAAGAAACCUCCCUACGAGUAGGGACUUGACGGUACUGUAAGAAUAAGGAUCGGCUAACUCCGUGCCAGCAGCCGCGGUAAUACGGAGGAUCCGAGCGUUAUCCGGAAUUAUUGGGUUUAAAGGGUUCGUAGGCGGCUUUGUAAGUCAGUGGUGAAAUUUCCUAGCUUAACUAGGACACUGCCAUUGAUACUGCAGAGCUUGAAUAAUAUGGAAGUAACUAGAAUAUGUAGUGUAGCGGUGAAAUGCUUAGAUAUUACAUGGAAUACCAAUUGCGAAGGCAGGUUACUACGUAUUUAUUGACGCUGAUGAACGAAAGCGUGGGGAGCGAACAGGAUUAGAUACCCUGGUAGUCCACGCCGUAAACGAUGGAUACUAGCUGUUCGGUUUUCGGACUGAGUGGCUAAGCGAAAGUGAUAAGUAUCCCACCUGG
rnacentral:rRNA from 1 species